UGUCGGUCAGUUUCAGUAAAGAUGGCGACCCCCAGUAGUCUGUCGUUAGAUGAGAUACGUAAAUAUUUAAUUGAAAGUGGAGGUUCUGCUCGCAAUCGUGAUCUAGUUAAACAUUUCAAGUAUUUUUUAACAGAUCCGGAAACGCGAGUCGAGGCGAGAAAUAAAUUCAAGGAAUACGUCAAUGCCUUGGCGACAAUUAAAAAUCAAGAGGGGGAAAAGUAUUUAGUACUUAAAAAAAAGUACAUACACAGUCUUGAUGAUUUAGUAACGUCGUAUCCCUAUGUGGCAUCAAGCACAUCAUUAGAAAGCCCUGAUUUUUUAACACCUACGUCGCCGCUUCGAGAUCCUCCGCCUUACCGUCCACCUCCUCCAGCUCCUCUAAGUCCGUCCAAUUCCGAAAUUAUCCCAUCUCCGUCUCACGUGUCGAGCACUCGAGCUGCUCAAGAUCAAUUAUACUCAAACUCUCCAACUCAUUCAGUUUUUAAUUCAAGUACCUCUAAUUUAAAUAUCACCAUCGAUGAUAGUACUAAUUAUCCUUCCAAUCAAAUUUUUGGCUCUAUUACAAAUAAUUCGAAUUUUGUGACACCGAAUCAACAAAGUCAACAAAAUAUAUCAGAAAUUAAUACGGACUAUACCUCUCCAAUCUCUCCAACCUCUCCAAUAAUAAAUUCACCUCCAGUUCCUCCGCGAAGAAAGAGCCAGGACAAAUUUAAGCUAGAAAAUAAAGAAAAUAUCAGCAAUAAAGGAAAAAAUGAACAGGAAAUUAUCAAGGAAGAUCAAGGACCACCAGAAAGUCUUGGAACAUCUGAGUUACCGAGUGUUAGAGAACGAAUGCAGCGUUUCAAUCGCAUGGCCAGUGAAACUGAUCUCCACGGUCGUCCGAACAGUGCAACAACUCCGACUAAGAAACGUUCUGACAAGGGUACCGAUGAGGAUGACAGUGCUUCCGUUGCAUCUCAACAAUUGGAUGGAAAAGCACGAGAAUGGUUAGUCCGAGCAGCUCAGGGUGACUAUCAAGCACUAGCCAAACUAGCAGCAGAGGAGCCACGUCUGACAAGGCAGAGGGAUCCAUCAUCUGGUUAUACUGCACUGCACUGGGCAGCUAAACACGGGGAUGAAAACAUUGUCAAGUUAAUUGCAGGAACUUACAAAGACUCUAUCAAAAGUGUUAAUGAGACAACGAAUGGGGGAUAUACCGCGUUACAUAUCGCAAUGCAGUUUGAUCACGAGAACAUCUUCAAUCUCCUUGUCCAGGUUUACGGUGCGAAUCAAGAGAUUCGUGAUCACAGUGGAAAAAAAGCUAGACAAUAUUUAGCGUCACAAGAAGCUGCGGUUAGCCAAGAUACUUUUCGCAUAGGGAUUAUUGCGGCUGCUACACUCAGGCAAGUUAAGAAAAAAAGUCAACUAUCUGAUGCUAAUAUAGUAAAGUACGCUUUUAAAGUAUAUUAUGCACGUUUGCUAUUUUUUUUCUUUUUUUGCUAAUAUUAAAAUGUUUACUUCAAUACAUUUUUUUUUUGUGUGUAAUAGUAAUUUAGUAAUUGCUUCUAACAGUUUGGCAUUAAUUUAACAAAACAAUUAGAAUUCAUUUAUUGAAAAAUUAAACCUAUGAUUAAAGGUGCAUUUUUGUUUUUUUCUACGUAGAUAAUUAAUCACGUAACAUUUAUAAAUUUUCUUUGCUUGAGAAAGUGCUUAUAAAUCCAAGUACUCAUAGUUGGAUUUAUAAGUAGACAAGCAAUACUAAAAGUAAAUAAACUGAGUAAUUAUUUAAGGUAAUGUAAAUAAGUAUAAACGCAGAUAUAAUAUACAUUAACAAAAGGCAAAAGCAUUUAAUUUAUUUAAACUCGUAUCCUGAUGAUUUAAUUACUCGAACAAUCUCACUUUAUAUGAUGUAAUUAACGCUAUCAUUCACAUCAUUUUUAUCAAUUAAUUAGACAAUCUAUUAUUUAUUUCGUUAAUUCGUCUGCACAAUACUAUUCUACUAUCAUUCUAUCAAGAAUUGAGAUUCUUAUAAAUAAAUAAAUAAAUAAAUAAAUUAACUUAAUAUUAAUUAAAAUAGAAUUUUUGAAUUGAGGAUUGUUGUUUACCUUCCGUCGAAGAACAAGAGAAAAAAAAAUUUACUACUGACGGGAUAAUGCAAUAAUAUAAUCUAAUUAGUUAGUAAUUAUAUUUACAGUAUAACUUAUAACUAUAAGUAUUUAGUUGGUAAAAUAGGAUCAGGAAUU